rnacentral:rRNA from 1 species
GUGCCAGCAGCCGCGGUAAUACGGAGGGUGCAAGCGUUAUCCGGAUUUACUGGGUUUAAAGGGUGUGUAGGCGGGUCUUUAAGUCAGUGGUGAAAUCUCCGAGCUCAACUUGGAAACUGCCAUUGAUACUAUUGAUCUUGAAUUUUGUUGAGGUAGGCGGAAUAAGUCAUGUAGCGGUGAAAUGCAUAGAUAUGACUUAGAACACCAAUUGCGAAGGCAGCUUGCUAAACAAAUAUUGACGCUGAGGCACGAAAGCGUGGGGAUCAAACAGGAUUAGAAACCCCCGUAGUCC